UUCUUACAGCAUCUUCUCCAUAGACUCCAAUAGAGAUACAUGGAGGAGGACUUCAGACAAGUGAGAGACACAUUUGGAAGGAGAGAAUAGUGGGCCCCAGGGGUCCAGGCCCUUCAAACAGAACUGAGCAGUGGUGGAGCAGCAUCAAUAAAGGUAGCAAAGAACUGGAGCUGUGGAAAUGUCUCAGUCAAUAAAGUCCUUACCACACAAGUACAAGGACCUGAUGUCAGAUCCUCAGCACCCAUGUAAGAAGCUGGGUACAGGGACACGGCUGAGAAGGCAAAGGAGGACCCCAGAGCUCACUGGCCAGACAGCCUCACCAAUGCAGUGAGUUCUAAUCACUGUGUCAGAAGAUCGGCUGGAGAGCAAAGAGAGAAGACACAACUGACUCCUGCCCUGUGCAUGAUGUAUACACAAACAUAGGUACAACACUUGCUAUACACACACGCGCACGCGCGCACGCACACACACACACACACACACACUUAAAACUAGCCAAAUGUAUGGAAGAUAAUGAUGCAGGUAUAAAACAAGGCCAGGAAGCUGCCUCAGUGAUUAAAGCCUUGUGGUCUGAGUGCACAUAAAGAGGUAGUAGGAAAGAACAGACUACACAGAGUUGUCCUCUCUCUCUCUCUCUCUCUCUCUCUCUCUCUCUCUCUCUCUCACACACACACACACACACACACACACACACACACACACACACACACAUACACACACACACACACACACAAUGAGAGGGGAGGAUAAAAAUUUCAAAUGUAAUAAGGUGGCAUGUCAAAAGCCGUGAGGGAACACUGAUCUUUUUAAAGAAAAUAUAUUCAGUCAGGUCUACAAAAAAGGAUUAUUAGAUCAACACAGUAUUUGUAACAACAAAAUAUCAAAUGGAGCAUGGAUCCAAAUUAAAAACUAAAAUCAUACAAGUACUCAGAAUAAAAUGUUAGUAAACUCCUUUCCACAAUGUAAGAAAAGGUUUUUCAAUUUCCAAACAAGAUUCAAAUAAACAAGACUAAGAAACUAAACUACAUAAAAGCCUGAACACUGACACCAAGCACUACGAAUAACAGAUGAAUGAACUGGAAUAAAACCUUAGGGAAGCAGAGCAUGGUGGCUCACUGAUCUCCGUAAGUUCAAGACAGCCUGGACUAGAGUGAGACCUUGUCACUACUCACCACCCUUGCCCCAAGAGAAAGCAAACCUGCUAAAAAGCUAAACUAUAUUGAGAUUCCAGUUAGACAAAGUUUUUUUUUUUUUUUUUUUUUUUUUGGUUCUUUUUUUUCGGAGCUGGGGACCAAACCCAGGGCCUUGCGCUUCCCAGGCAAGCACUCUACCACUGAGCUAAAUCCCCAACCCCAACAAAGUUUUAAGAAUGUAACAAACCCCUCUAAGGGUUUCCCUCUGAGCGGAAACUAACAUACAUUUCCAGUGAGAACUGAAAUUUGUACUGUUCCUUCAGAAAGGAAGUUUCUAAUGUCUAAUAAAACUAUAUGGAAUUUGGUCACCCCUCAAUUGUGGAUCAAAAAUAUGCCCCCCCCAACCCCUUCACACUUAUCAUUAUUUCCUACUUGUCCUACAAUAAAAAUGGAAGGCUUCUGUAGGCUUUUUCUAAUUAACCAGCUAACUCAAAAAUUAAGGAAGGCACAUUUUUCCUCUUCCACAGUAGUGCUCUUUCUGCAAAAGUAUUGUUACUAAUACUUUACCUCUCACUUAUUAAAAUUAUGACAGUAUAGCAUCUCAAUAAGAAUAUCCUAGUCUUGUGUCUAUAUGCAUAAAUGUGUAUGGUAUGUACAUGGUCAUAGGUAUGCAAGUGAACAUACAUGCUCACAUCUACAUGUAGAAAGAAGCCAGAGAUCAACAUUUAGUGUCAUUCUCAAUCACUCUUUUUUUGAAAUAGGGUCUCUCUUUGAUCCUGAAUCUCACCAACAUGCUGGGGCUAGUUGGUUAAAAAGAUCUAGCUGUCCCAUCUCCAGGGAUGGGAUUACAGGCAAACGUCACCAUGUUGGUUUUUUUAUAUGGGUACUGGGGAUCCAAACUCAGAUCCUUACUUUAUAGGAUUGAGCUAUCCUACCAAGUCCCAGAAUAUCUAAUGAGUAAAUUCAGUCUGUGGGGAAGGUGAGCAAAAUGUACAUAACACAUGUAAUAUUGCUGCCCCCUCCCCCCAAGUCCUAGUAACAGACAUAAGACCCAAAUCCACAAAGAAAGAGAAUAGCAAGAAGAAAAAAAAAGCAACAAAUUUUUGAAGCUAGAGCAUAGAAAGGUAUAUACAAGAUUAGCAUUUUUUUCAAAGAUUGUGUUCCUGAUCAGGCAGUCUAUGUAAUAUAUGGUGGUCCCAUCCUUUUGACAAGUACAAGAAGCCACAGGAAGAAAACAUGAAUGGAAAACAAUACCCAACAUUAGAGAGAAGUAAAAGAAUGCCAGUAAAUGCGGCUUCCAGAAUAAUUGUGCAUCAAAAGUCAAAAGUCCCCAAUCCAGAACAAAAGCUAGGUAACAACAGGUAUAUUACUUAAGGACUGCCACUCUCCCACUCUUGACUAGAGUGCCAUCUUUUUAAUCAGACACUACUAGAGGGCGUGUUCCAACUAAGCAAGAGGGUAAAUGAAGAAUGAGGAAGAUAUGAGUUCUGACAAGACUGGAAAUCAAACCCAGGAGAGAAGUCUGCAGAUUACAACAAAGGGAAAUCAUUCUAGGAAAAGAACUGUGCAGUAGGCCCAGAGAUCCAUCACUCAAAUAGUAGGAUAAUGGAAGUCUGUAGAAAAGGAGCUUCAGAAUGGAAGGGAGGAUGGGUAAGGGAGGAAGAAGAAAGGGAGGGGAGAAGGGUAACUGGAACCAAAAGCUUACAUGACCUUAAGGAAGACCACACUGAGGCCAUUUAAGACACUAUCAGCCAAUGAAAUUCGCACAGGUAUAAUGUCAAUGCAACACUAACUUAACCAAAUGUCAGAAUGUAACUGCCAUGGGAAGCUAAGAAGGGAGCACCAGUGGAUAUGGCUGUUGGAGAAGAGCAAAACUGGAGUGAUGGGAGGUUGUAAGCCACCUAAUGUGGGAGCUAGGAACCUACCUUGUAUGCCUGGGACGAGGAACAAGUGUUCUUAACCACUUAGUCAUCUCCGGUCUCCUAUUUGACUCUUUAAAUUAUGUCUACAAACUAUAUUCCUAUUGAUUAAAUAUGAAGAAAAAUUUAGAAAAUUAAUUCAAAGAAACAAAAGCUAAACAGCAAUAUAUACUUUGAUAUUAAAUAAUUCAUCAUUCAAAAAUAUAUAAAUAAAAUAUUUUCAAUUGAAAGAAACAAAGAAAAGCCUUUAGAAAUAGUUCUCUUUUUGUUAAGCCUUUAUAUUUCUAAUACUGAUAAACAUAAAUAUACAAAAUAUGAAAGUCUUAAAAAUUAAAAAAGAAUAACUUAAAGCAAAUAAUUACUAUUAGUGAAGACAGACAGGAUCCAGUAAUUGUAACACUAGGAGGGUUGUAGGUUUGACCUUACUUACAAAUUCAUUAAUGAUCAGGAGGCAGUGCAAAUAACACAUUUAAUUAAAUUUGCUCAUUUAUCUAUUUUGGGAAGUACGAUUAACAGCAGUGAGAGAGAAGUAAUAUAAAAAGACAGAGAUGGAUUAAAAACAUUGGCUGAAAACCAACUAAGCAUCCUUACUCUAAUCUGGGAACGAGAGGUGUUACACGGCAGAGAAGUCUGGGUCUUCACUCUAAAGACGCUCAGCUUGAACUACUGGUGCUAGUGAGAGCAAGUUUUCAUAUAAUCUCACUGUCUUCAUUCACGGACACGGACAACUCAAAACAGUCUGUGGUUCCCAACUUUCACAGCAUCAAGCUGUGGUCUGUGACCUAGUUUUAUGAAUGGCAUAUGAGCAAAAGUAGUCCGUAUAAUCUCAAGAAGUAUCCUGUAAGGGAGAGAGAGGAUUCCCUUCCUUCCUCCUUUCUGCUGGGGGAAAUAUGGAUGGGAUAACUGGAGCUGCAGUGCUCUACGCCUACAGUGACUUUGGUUCUUAGGUUACCUUCCACCUCAGUGCUGGAAACCAAUCUUGCACUUCUAAAGUGACACUGUAAAAGAACAGCAUCCAUGGGGUUGGGGAUUUAGCUCAGUGGUAGAGAGCUUGCCUAGGAAGCGCAAGGCCCUGGGUUCGGUCCCCAGCUCCGAAAAAAAAAAGAACCAAAAAAAAAAAAAAAAAAAAAAAAAAAAAGAA